GCUUGAGGACAAGCAGCAUUAACAUUCUCAAACAACAAGCAAAGACAACAUAUCAAGUUCAAAGAAAGACAGCAAGCUCGAGACAACAUAUCAAGUUCUAAGAAAGACAGCGAGACAAUGAGUUUUAAGCAAGACAAGCAAGAUUGCUAGCAAGGCAAUGAGUUCUCCUAUCUAUACAAGCAAGACUAGCAAGGCAAUGAGUUAUCCUAUCUAUACAAGCAAGACAAGCAAGGCAAUAAGUUAUCCUAUCUAUACAGCCAGUUCUCCAAUCAAUUCAGCGAGUUCUCCUAUCAACCCAGGGAGUUCUAAACAAAACAUCAACUAAAUUCGACUCAAACCAAGAACCGAGACUAACCUGAGGUCCUAAAGCUGCUCAUAUAAAUGGUAGGCUGACGUGUUGACGCCUCCUUGGUCACCA
rnacentral:lncRNA from 1 species